GGCAUUAUGGCCGAGUGGUUAAGGCGAAAGACUCGAAUUAUCUUUUGGGUUUUACCCGCGCAGGUUCAAAUCCUGCUGAUGUCG